rnacentral:rRNA from 1 species
AUUGAACGCUGGCGGAAUGCUUUACACAUGCAAGUCGAACGGCAGCACGGGGCAACCUGGUGGCGAGUGGCGAACGGUGAGUAAUACAUCGGAACGUGCCCAAUCGUGGGGGAUAACGUAGCGAAAGUUACGCUAAUACCGCAUACGAUCUACGGAUGAAAGCGGGGGAUCGCAAGACCUCGCGCGAAUGGAGCGGCCGAUGUCAGAUUAGGUAGUUGGUGGGGUAAAGGCUCACCAAGCCAACGAUCUGUAGCUGGUCUGAGAGGACGACCAGCCACACUGGAACUGAGACACGGUCCAGACUCCUACGGGAGGCAGCAGUGGGGAAUUUUGGACAAUGGGCGCAAGCCUGAUCCAGCCAUUCCGCGUGCAGGAUGAAGGCCUU